UUACAAUGAUGAUGGCAUAGUUCAGCAGACUGGCGCUGAUGAGCAGUAUUAAAUCUUUCACUCUUAUCUGAUGUUAAA
ensembl:snoRNA